rnacentral:rRNA from 1 species
CUACGGGUGGCAGCAGUGGGGAAUAUUGGACAAUGGGCGCAAGCCUGAUCCAGCAAUACCGCGUGUGUGAAGAAGGCCCGAGGGUUGUAAAGCACUUUCAGUAGGGAGGAUUGAUUUUACGGAUAAUACCCGUGAAGUUUGACGUUACCUACAGAAGAAGCACCGGCUAACUCAGUGCCAGCAGCCGCGGUAAUACUGAGGGUGCAAGCGUUAAUCGGAAUUACUGGGCGUAAAGCGCGCGUAGGUGGUUAGAUCAGUUGGGUGUGAAAGCCCCGGGCUCAACCUGGGAACUGCAUUCAAUGCUGUCUAGCUAGAGUACGGUAGAGGGAAGUGGAAUUCCGCAUGUAGCGGUGAAAUGCGUAGAGAUGCGGAGGAACACCAGUGGCGAAGGCGACUUCCUGGACCGAUACUGACACUGAGGUGCGAAAGCGUGGGGAGCAAACAGGAUUAGAUACCCCCGUAGUC